rnacentral:rRNA from 1 species
UACGUAGGUGGCAAGCGUUAUCCGGAAUUAUUGGGCGUAAAGCGCGCGUAGGCGGUUUUUUAAGUCUGAUGUGAAAGCCCACGGCUCAACCGUGGAGGGUCAUUGGAAACUGGAAAACUUGAGUGCAGAAGAGGAAAGUGGAAUUCCAUGUGUAGCGGUGAAAUGCGCAGAGAUAUGGAGGAACACCAGUGGCGAAGGCGACUUUCUGGUCUGUAACUGACGCUGAUGUGCGAAAGCGUGGGGAUCAAACA